GGAAAUAGGGAAUGGGCUGGGUAAGCAGAAUGGGAUCAUCGAUGACCUCACCAGCUUGGUUGAAAACACAGACGACAAAAUUCGCAACCAGACCCGGCAUGUGAAGGUGGUGGACAAGAAAUCAACGUCCUGUGGGAUGCUGGUGGUGAUUGUGCUGCUGCUGAUUGCCAUUGCUGUGGUUGCUGUCUGGCCAUCACACUAACCUGGAGCUGGGGCCCUGGGACCUCCUGCUCCCCAGCUGGGUGUGGAGCACUCCGAAGAAGAGCCCAGCUUUUCCAGAGACUUCUUGUGUUGCAGAUGAACUCCUCAGUCUGAGUAUGAAGCUGUGCCUGACAGACAGCCCUUCUGCCUUCAGUGCACAGCUGAAGAGCACUGGGGGAUUUGGAGGGUUGGAAGGGGAAAAGGACCCUCUUCCCACCUUCCCUUGGUGCUUGGGAGGCUGCAGCUGGCUCUGCCAGAGCUGCACAGCUCCAGGGAUCUGCUCCUGGAGUUGGGGAGAUGCCUGCCCAGCCCACCACCCCUUUUCUUCAGUGGUCACUCAUCCCAAGGACCUCAAAAUGCUCGAAUACAGGUGUGGUUUGGGGGUACAGCCUCAGUGCUCCUGUGCUUUCUGAUACCUUCCCUCAAAACCCAAAUGCUUACUUUUUUCAAGGUGUAGGUGAUGUGGGGAAUGGCUGCAUCCGGGCUGCUGGCAGGAUGGGAAGCAAGAGCCCUGCAGGGAGGGAGGCACAGGAACCCCACCAACCAUCCAGAAAUCUGGAGGGGGAGUCAGUCCUUGGCCCUGGGGGCGAGUUCUUGGUGUUGAUCUCCUCAGAGGGAUGUGAACAGCAGCAGUGCCAGCCCAGGUACAGCCGGGGGAGAGGAUGCUCCCCCCAUGCCCCCUGCAGGAGGUGUCCUGGCACCACCUUUCCAGGGCUGCCUCUUUCUUUUCUAACAUUUCACACACUGUUAAACCCGAGGGGAAGGCUUACCUACUCAGUAACUAAUGAAAAAUCAGUAUCAACAGUUUGCUUCUGGCCAAAAAAAAUGGUUAUUUUGUUAUACGUGCUGGUUUGAUUUCAGAAUUGAUAGAGCAAGCAAUAAAUACUGAAUAAAAGCCAAGCUGUUUCUAUA